rnacentral:lncRNA from 7 species
ACUCAGAGGCCGAUGCUGAGCUGCGGCCGCCGGGACGGGGGCAGGAGGGCCCCCCACCACUGUGUGAUGGAAAUGGGUGAAGCGUUCCUGCAGCUGUGCCAGGAGGUGGCCAGGCUGAGGGAGCUGUGCUCCAGGCAGAGUGAGCUGCUGCAGAAGCUGAGCGCCAGGAAGGGCCCCAUCGUGGAGAGAGGCAUUUGAAAGCUGCAUUGUUGCUUUUUCCAAGAACACAGGAGAGGGGAUCACCACGUUUUCGUGGCACUAAGUCUGAACUUGCCUUUGGAGAGAGCUCUAGCGCUGCAUGCACGGUGCCACCCGCCCUGCAGCAAUCCUUAUCUCAGACCUUUAUGCUUAACAAGUAGCUCUGAAACAGAUCUGGCAUCGCAUCUUUGAGGCAACUUGCAUUUAAAUCAACGUCCGACGCCUCUGCUUCCAUGGAUCAAGAUUAAUUCCCGUCUCCAGCUCCAGAAUCUCAUCUUUAGCAGCACAGAUAACAGCAAUGACUCGAGGCUCUUCCCAGAAGCAUAACUGCAUUAUGAAGCGGCGGAGCUGAUGACGAACAUCUGUGCACCCUGAGGAACUCGUCCUUCAGACGGGCAGGGACUGACGUGUGGGGCAGCACCGGGUCCUGGCAGUUUGGGAUUUACAGACCUGGGGGUUUGCAGUCACUUUUCAGGGGACCAUUUUCCUGGAUGGAGCCCUCAGCUCUCUCAGAGCCACAGCUCCGGGCUGAGUUCCUUCCAUGCAGAUUCUGGAGCUGCUCCUCACCCUGAGCGUGACCAAGACCUUAACUUGCUGGGGGUCAAAGUGGGGGUUCUCACAUCACGGUGCAGCCUCCCCAUUGGCAUCUCCAACAGCUCCAAGCUGCCUCCUGUGGCUCCCUGAUGGUGGCAUCAUUGUGUGGUGUUUUGUGCCCUUCUGUAGGGCCUGGAUGAAAAUAUCAGUCCGCAGCUUGCAGAGUUACUAGAAGCACCAGCUCUGACAGCGCUCUGCAUCAAGAAGGGCUAUAAAUUCAUUUGGCAUAAAAUUGUAACAGCCAUCCAGAAUUUGCCAGAAGGAAGAAAACCAACCCAGUUCCUCCUGCUCUGAGAGCAAGUCCAAUAAAUUUAAUUU